rnacentral:rRNA from 1 species
AUGGCGACGCUGCCCCUCCUCCUCGCCGUUCCCCUCUUGCUGCUGCUGCUGGGGGCGGGGGUUGACCUCGUGGAGGAGGUGGAGGUCGGGGGCGGACCGGGCGCGCGAGGCCCCGGCGAGCGGGAAGUCCCCGGCCGCGGCGUCGGCGGCGAUGGGGGCCUUGACGGCGGCGGAGUCCUCGUUGUAGAGGAAGAUGGCGACGAGGAAGAUGGAGACGAGGAGGCCCGCGAGCGAGAGCGGCGCGCCGGGCCUGCGCGCGGGCGCCUCCUCCCCCUCCCCCUGCUUGGCGGCCGCAGGCGCCGCCGCGAACGGCGACUUCCGGCGCAGCAUCGCCGCCGCCCCCGCCCCCGCCCGCCCCUUCGCCCCCGCCGCCAGCAAGAAGUCAGGCAAGCCCAAGCUCGCGCCUUUCCCCCGCAGAGAUCGACCGCCGCCUCCUCCCCCCGCUGGCGCGUCUGGAAACUGGAGAUCAGCCGGGAUCUCCUCGGGCUCCCCUCGCCGCGUCCGGUGGUCGGAGAGGCGGAUCGCUCCGGUCAGCGGCGACUGCGGCCGGCGCCCCCCUUGUGA